ensembl:lncRNA
UGGGUUUCCUAAGACUGGGCUGGGUGGAGCAGUGAGACUUUACCUGGAGGUUCCUGCUCAACACCUGAGUCUCUGCUGCCAAUCAAGCCCAGCUCUUGGGAGUUCCCGGUCCCAGGAAGCAGGAUGUGGGUGUGUCCACGGGACUUAGAGUCCUGCCUCCCCCAGCGCUCUGUGGGUCUGUGCCGCUGCCUCUGGCCUCAGCCUCGGAAGGUGGUGGCAGUAGUUACGGCAAUGUCCACCAGAUGGCAGACCUAAAAUCCAGGAUGGCAGCUCCCGGAGGCAGGGAAACAGCACCUGGGUGAGGAAGCGCCUUUGGAAAGACACAGACACCCAGAUGAAGAGAAAUCCAGAUCCACAAAGCACCUGGGCCCAUGGUUCCUAUCCGGCAGAGUCUCUUUUGGACCUGAAGUAUCACAAGACCUCUCCAGUCCAUGCCUCCUGGCAACUCUGCUUGGCAUACUGGCCCAUCCUGCUUUUGACCAUGGCCCUCCCCCAUCCCCUACUGUGAGCUCAGACUGCCUCUUGGACGGUCCACUCCAAGAACCUGUUUUCUUGUGUGGGGACUCAUCUUUGUGGGGACUCACCUCCUGUUUGCAGCUGGAUGCCUACUCAGCAUCGCCUAGAGCCAGGCGCUCCUCUACAGUUUCCAAGCUGCUCGGUCAUCAGAGAAAGAUACAGCUUCUUCUAUGGCACAAGCGUGUGCUAAAACUGACAUCCAGGGCUUUCCUGGUGGUUCAGUGGUAAAGAACCCACCUGCCAAUGCAGGAGACAUGGGUUGGAUUCCAGGGCCAGGAGGAUCCCACGUGCCACAGAGCAACCAAGCCCGUACAGCACAGCUACUGAGCCUGUGCUCUGGAGCCCAUGCUCCACAACAAGAGAAGCCACCGAAGCGAGGAGCCUGGGCACCACAGCUAGAGGAAAGCCUACUUGUAGCAAUGAAGACGAAGCACAGCCAAAUAAAGAAAUAAAAUUAUUUUUAAAAAAAAAUUAAAAAACUUAAAAUUCAAGUCGUGCUGACCAGAGUGGGCGUGCCAUCCAGCAUGAAUAUGUGCCAUAGCAUCUUCAGCAUAUUUGUACUGGACACUGAACUAAGGCUUUGACGUGUGUUAUCUCUGUGCAUGUUCAAUACAACCCUGAGAGAGUCUCAUAUUAUUCCUGUUCUAUGGAUGAGGAAAUAGGCAAAGAUGUUAAGUAACUUUCUAAUUAAGGUCACCAGGCUAGAAACUGGGACUGGAGCCCUGUUGCAUCUAAUGCCAAAUGCCUGCUCUUAACCACCACUCGAUACUGCCUCUCGUGGUCUUCAUCAGCAUCCCAAGGCCUCAGUUAAGUCCUCUGCCUGGGAUCAGCCUCAGAGUCUGGAUUAUUCCCAGAGCAAAUAUCAGGCCAGGACUAAAUCUUGGGCCCAGAAAAACUAGGUGGGAAACAGAUGGGAACCCUGGAAGGGAUUUUGCUGCAGCCGAAGGAGUUGGGGAUUAGGAUUCAAAAGGAUUGAGGUGGUCUUGCUCGGCCCCUUGUUGUCUGAGUGGACCUGGUCAAAUCUUGAAUCUCUCUGAGCAUCAGUUUCUCCAUUGGUGACAUAAGGGUAGCAGCAGAAGCUACCUCUCAGAGAUGGACUGAGGAACAAGUGAGGAAAUGCGCCAACAUGAGGCAGGAUCCUAUCGACUACAGAGGGCUGUCUGAUGGAAUGACCGUUAGUGCCAGCCACUACUCAGCAUUUGUUGUGGGACAAACAAUCUGCUUUGGCAAAUGUCACAAAGGCUUGCCUUCCAUUCCACUCCUGAAAAGUGAAAAUUAGGGAGCUCCCUAAUAGGGGUUCCCAGAACCACUGGCAGUCCAGUGGUUAAGACUCUGUGCUUCCAAUGCAGGGGGCGUGGGUUGCAUCCUUGGUCAGGGAGCUAAGAUCCCACAUGCUGCAAGGCAUAGCCAAUAAAUACAUAAAUAUAACAUAAAAGGAAUUUUUAAAAAUUUGAUUGCUGGGGCAGAAUUUGGAGGCUGUGGGUACACCCAGG